UCCAGUAGGCUGAGGGCUUCCUGCUUCAGUGCUUCCAGUAGGCUAAAUUUCCCCUUCAUCCUUCAUCUUCACUUCACCGGAUUCAACUUCCAGUAGGCUAAAUUUCCUUCCUGCUUCCACCCGGUUUCCUUCGGAAUUCGGAUCCUUGAGCUGAAUCCUUCCAGAUCCAGCCUCCACUUGAGUCAGACAAAGACGACCUCGACCGUCCGCUCAGAUGAAGCCUCCACCUGAAUCCUUCCGCCGUUCCACUCGACAACACUCAGACGAAGAUGACCUCACCUGAGUCACCUCGACCCCGGCUCGACCCCGCGACCUCGACCCUACGACCGCGACCGCGACCCCGACCCCGCGACCCUCGAGCCCUCUCUCCGACCUAAAACGAAGACGGCGUCACCUCGACCUCAGACGAAGUUGACCUCACCUCGACAGCGCGACCUUGACCCUGGCUCGACCACGCGACCAGGACCUCGGGUAUCCCUGCAGACCCCGUCGCACUCCCCUUCCCUAUCCCGGCCUUGCUGGUUGUUUUUAUUUCCUCCAAUCUCGAAGGUGAGGACGAGAUUGUAGGGAGGACGACAUUGUAGAGAGAUUCAGUGAGGAAGAGGGGGAAGGAGAAGUUGAUGCAAAGGUGGAUGACUUCAUCAACAGGUUCAAGCAGCAGCCGAAGCUGCAGAGGAUCAAUUCCAUCAUGAGGUUUAGGGACAUGGUAAAUAGAGGAAGAGGUAGAUGAUCAGAACAAACUCGAAGUUGUUUCCUUUUGUUAUGUGGACGAAUGAAUUCCUUAGCAUUCUAUGUAUUUUGGAUGUUAAUGCUUGGAAGUAUUAGGCUUUUUUUUUUAUUUCGUUUAAUUAUUCUCUAAGGUUAGAUAAAAGAACUUGGUCCUGUUUCUACGUUUUUGGUUGAACAUCCAGUUCUAUUGUACAAUGAAAGUUGCCUUCUUGAUUCGGAGUUGGCACUGCUGAUCUC